rnacentral:rRNA from 1 species
GUUGACCUCGGAUCAGGUAGGAAUACCCGCUGAACUUAAGCAUAUCAAUAAGCGGAGAA